rnacentral:pre_miRNA from 1 species
AGUUGAAUUGCUGGUUCAUAUGGUAAUUCUGUGUUUAAUUUUUUGAGGAACUUCCAUACUGCUUUCCAUAGUGUCUGUUCCAUUUUACAUUCCACCAGCAGU